AUUGAACGCUGGCGGCAGGCCUAACACAUGCAAGUCGAACGAGUGGCGGACGGGUGAGUAAUGUCUGGGAAACUGCCUGAUGGAGGGGGAUAACUACUGGAAACGGUAGCUAAUACCGCAUACCAUCGGAUGUGCCCAGAUGGGAUUAGCUAGUAGGGGGGGUAAAGGCUCACCUAGUCGACGAUCCCUAGCUGGUCUGAGAGGAUGACCGGCCAGCCCGGAACGGAGACCCGGUCCAGACUCCCAAGGGAGGCAGCCGUGGGGAAUAUUGCACAAUGGGCGCAAGCCUUAUGCAGCCAUGCCGCGUGUAGGAAGAAGGCCUUCGGGUUGUAAAGUACUUUCAGCGGGGAGGCGUUACCCGCAGAAGAAGCACCGGCUAACUCCGUGCCAGCAGCCGCGGUAAUUC
rnacentral:rRNA from 1 species